CAGACCGCAACCGGGGCUGUUUCAGGCCAGCGGGAAUGAAUGCUGGGUCACGCUAAUCUUGCCGCUAGAAACCGAACAGUACCCUAUUCAUCACCUGGAGCUUGAAGGAAAUAUGAAGUCAGAGUUCCUCACGGAGGCAGGGGUGCAGAGGGGCCGACACGGAAUCCAAAACGGGGCUCAAUGAAAAUGCACCGCGCGUUGGAAUUCACAGAUGGCACCCUGCAGGAAUCAUUACAACUGCAAAUAUACAAAAAAGAGGUCAUUUGUGGUCAUCGCUGGACAUGACGCAAGGGACAGUCAUGCUCCUGAGCUUCUCCCCCCAGGCACAAUGCUUAACCUGGCCCUUCACACUGAGCGUCAAGGGGCCGCGCGUCUGCUGACCCCGGUGAUGUUUCCAGGAAGUUUCUCUCCCUGCCCAGUGGGGAGCAGCAGCACAGCCCCCGCCCAGCCCGGGGCGCCGCUCCGCUCCCAGGGAGGAGGAGGAGGCCUGCACAGAGGGGGUGUCUGCAGGGGGCAGCUGCAGAUUUUUGGAGGGAACCAAAGACUCUCUGGCCAUUAGACUAAUGAACAUUUCUGUCAUUUGAAAUAUGAACUCAAAAAUACAUUCUCCGAAACACAGGAGAAAGACGGCCUACAAGAAAGUAUAUUCCAGCACAGAACAGAAGAGGGGCCCAGGGAACCGGACAAAACGUGUGCAUACAUAUCUGCACAUGCGUGUGCAAGCACAUAUAUGUGCACACAUGUGCAUGUAUGUGCGCACACAUGU